AACGGCCGUACCAUGCUGAAUAUACCGGUUCUCGUUAGAUCACCGAAGUUAAGCAUCAUUGGGCGCGGUCAGUACUUGGAUGGGUGACCACCUGGGAACACUGCGU
rnacentral:rRNA from 1 species